UGACCGCUGGCGGCAGGCCUAACACAUGCAAGUCGAGCGGAUGAAGGGAGCUUGCUCCUGGAUUCAGCGGCGGACGGGUGAGUAAUGCCUAGGAAUCUGCCUGGUAGUGGGGGAUAACGUCCGGAAACGGGCGCUAAUACCGCAUACGUCCUGAGGGAGAAAGUGGGGGAUCUUCGGACCUCACGCUAUCAGAUGAGCCUAGGUCGGAUUAGCUAGUUGGUGGGGUAAAGGCCUACCAAGGCGACGAUCCGUAACUGGUCUGAGAGGAUGAUCAGUCACACUGGAACUGAGACACGGUCCAGACUCCUACGGGAGGCAGCAGUGGGGAAUAUUGGACAAUGGGCGAAAGCCUGAUCCAGCCAUGCCGCGUGUGUGAAGAAGGUCUUCGGAUUGUAAAGCACUUUAAGUUGGGAGGAAGGGCAGUAAGUUAAUACCUUGCUGUUUUGACGUUACCAACAGAAUAAGCACCGGCUAACUUCGUG
rnacentral:rRNA from 1 species